rnacentral:rRNA from 1 species
GAUGAAUGCUGGCGGCAUGCCUAAUACAUGCAAGUCGAGCGGUAACAGGACUAGCUUGCUAGUUGCUGACGAGCGGCGGACGGCUGAGUAACGCGUGGGAACGGACCCCAAACUGAGGGAUAACGCACCGAAAGGUGUGCUAAUACCGCAUGUGAUCUUCGGAUUAAAGCUUUCGAGCGGUUUGGGACUGGCCUGCGUACGAUUAGAUAGUUGGUGAGGUAAUGGCUCACCAAGUCGACGAUCGUUAGAUGGUUUGAGAGGAUGAUCAUCCAGACUGGGACUGAGACACGGCCCAGACUCC